rnacentral:rRNA from 1 species
AUUGAACGCUGGCGGCAUGCCUAACACAUGCAAGUCGAACGGUAACAGGAAACGCCUUCCUGUUUCGCGUACGAGGCGGGCGCGUGUGUGAAAUGUCGGUGAAACAGCCUUAUGGAUGGGGUUAACUACUGGAAACGUUACCUAAUACCGCAAAACUUCUCAACACCAAGGAUCGAGAGCGUCGGACGGCCUUCCUGCCAAUUAUCCCUGGUGGCAUUAGCUAGUAGGUAGGGUAACGGCUCACGUAGGCAACGAUGCAUAGCUGAUCUGAGAGGGUGACCGGCCACACUGGAACUGAGACACGGUCCAGACUCCUACGGGAGGCAGCAGUGGGGAAUAUUGCACAAUGGGCGAAAGCCUGACGGAGCAAUGCCGCGUGUAUGAAGAAGGCCUUCGGGUCGUAAAGUUCUGUCAGUGGGGAGGAAGGUAGUUAAAUUAAACCGUUCACAUCUUGACGUUACCCGAAGAAGAAGCCACGGCUAACUACGUG